rnacentral:tRNA from 1 species
GAGGAGUGGCAGAGCGGUUGAAUGCACUGGUCUUGAAAACCAGCGUGGGUGUGAGCUCACCGGGGGUUCGAAUCCCUCCUCCUCC